rnacentral:rRNA from 1 species
UACAGAGGGGGCAAGCGUUGUUCGGAAUUACUGGGCGUAAAGAGCUCGUAGGCGGUUUGUCGCGUCUGCCGUGAAAGCCCGGGGCUCACCCCCGGAAGGGCAUUGGAAACUGACGGACUCGAGUCCCGAAGAGGAGGGUGGAAUUCCUGAUGUAGCGGUGAAAUGCGUAGAUAUCAGGAGGAACACCGGUGGCGAAGGCGGCCCUCUGGACGGUGACUGACGCUGAGACGCGAAAGCGUGGGGAGCAAACAGG